UACGUAGGGUGCGAGCGUUGUCCGGAAUUAUUGGGCGUAAAGAGCUCGUAGGCGGUGUGUCGCGUCGGCCGUGAAAACCUGCAGCUUAACUGUGGGCUUGCGGUCGAUACGGGCAUCACUGGAGUUCGGCAGGGGAGACUGGAAUUCCUGGUGUAGCGGUGAAAUGCGCAGAUAUCAGGAGGAACACCCGUGGCGAAAGCGGCUCUCUGGGACGGUACUGACGCUGAGACGCGAAAGCGUGGGGAGCGAACAGG
rnacentral:rRNA from 1 species